CCUACGGGUGGCAGCAGUGAGGAAUAUUGGUCAAUGGACGAGAGUCUGAACCAGCCAAGCAGCGUGAAGGAUGACUGCCCUAUGGGUUGUAAACUUCUUUUAUAUGGGAAUAAAAUGUUACAAGCGUGGGCUUUUGUAUGUACCAUAUGAAUAAGGAUCGGCUAACUCCGUGCCAGCAGCCGAGGUAAUGCGGAGGAUCCGAGCGUUAUCCGGAUUUAUUGGGUUUAAAGGGAGCGUAGGUGGUUUGUUAAGUCAGUUGUUAAAGUGUGCGGCUCAACCCUAACAUUGCAGUUGAAACUGGCAGUCUUGAGUACGGUAGAAGUGGGCGGAAUUCGUGGUGUAGCGUUGAAAUGCUUAGAUCUCCCGAAGAACUCAGAUUGCGAAGGCAGCUCGCUGGACUGCAACUGACACUGAGGCUCGAAAGUGUGGGUAUCAAACAGGAUUAGAUACCCGUGUAGUC
rnacentral:rRNA from 1 species